rnacentral:rRNA from 1 species
UGGCGAACGGGUGAGUAACGCGUGAGCAACCUGCCUUAAACAACGGGAUAGCCUCGGGAAACCGGGAUUAAUACCGUAUGAGACCCCGCCUUCCCAUGAAGAAGAGGUUAAAGAUUUAUCGGUUUAAGAUGGGCUCGCGUCUGAUUAGCUAGUUGGUGAGAUAAAAGCCCACCAAGGCAACGAUCAGUAACCGGCUUGAGAGAGUGAACGGUCACAUUGGAACUGAGACACGGUCCAAACUCCUACGGGAGGCAGCAGUGGGGAAUAUUGCACAAUGGGGGAAACCCUGAUGCAGCGACGCCGCGUGAGCGAUGAAGGAAUUCGUUUCGUAAAGCUCUGUCCUAGGGGAAGAUAAUGACAGUACCCUUGGAGGAAGCCCCGGCUAAAUACGUGCCAGCAGCCGCGGUAAUACGUAUGGGGCGAGCGUUGUCCGGAAUUAUUGGGCGUAAA